rnacentral:lncRNA from 1 species
AGUAUCUCCAAAUGGAAAAAAGAACAGAGAGAGAGGUGAAAAGGAGAAAAGGAAGAAGAGGAGGGGAAAAAGGGAGGGCGAAAGAACAAGGAGAGAAGAGGGGGUAUGGAUGACUGGGAGAAGAAGGAAUAAAAGGAAGGGGAGAGCAGGGAAGGGGAGGAAGGGAGGCUUUUGUUGUCUCCUUGGAUUUCCCACUAAAUGCUGGGAACUGGAUGCAGAUUCUGUCUCAGACACUUAGAAGAGAUUCAUCACAUUUAAAGUUCCCUACCUUGUCCUUCUUCCAGGGGUUUGUCAGACACAAGAAGGACCCUGCAGAUUGGCAGCAAAAGCUGAAAGAGUGAAAGCAAGGUCAAAGGUCAGAGCUGGGAUUCCUUAGAAGGAACUGUUUUUCAUCUUCAGCAGGGCCUGGGGUUUGUGAAGACCCAGGAUGAAAGAACCAGGAAGGGGCAGCUUUCCUUUCAGCCUGAAUGAAGGGAGUUGGACCUGCAGGUGUUGUCAAGGAAAGGGGUUUCCAGAAUACCCAUGCCUACCUUAUCUGCUUGGCUGCCUUCAAGACAUAGGUUUAGAAUCACUUUUCAAGUUUUACCAGGUAACUUCCUUCUCAUUUUGUGAGCUGGCACAUCUUUAUCUCUGCUUCAAAUGCACUCCCCCUUCUUUCUUUCCUCUUACAGAUACUUAUCUAGUGAUCUUUCCAUCAUGACCUGUAUGUUUUUUAUUGUUUGAAUAUGAAAUGUCCCUUCACAGGCCCAUGUGCUUAAAUAUCUGAUCUCUAUAUAAUGGCACUGUUUGGGGAAGGCUAUGGAACUUUUGGUACUUGGGGCUGACUGGCAAAGGUGGGUCACUGAGGGCAAGUCUUUGAGAAUGAUAGCUGGAUUCUACUUCUGAUCCUGUUCUCUGUAUCCAGGCCUACAACUAAAAUGUGAACAAGUUUCUGCCACAUGUUCCUGCUGCCACCAAGCCUUUCCACCAUGCCAUCCCCACCAUGAUGGACUUUCCAUCCAUUGCAUUGCCGGCUGUACCAUGACAACAGUGAGAAGACUGCUAAUAGAAUCUUAUCUUCACAUCUUCCAAAAACCUAGCAUGUGUGUGCAUAUAGUGCUGGACAGUUUUUGCUGAGUAAAUACCUAUAUCAUUUGAAAACAAGUCUGUGUUGGAGGAGUAAUUUUAUUCUUUGAGGUACUAUGUUCAGGAGAGGAAGAAGUUCUCUCACUAUGGAUAUUGUUUGAAUUUUUCUGGGGAUCUGGGAUCUAUCACCAUGGAAGAUUUUGGAAAGCUGACAAGUGUCCAGAACUGAGCAACUAGUAUGGAGGGGGCCUGAGGAUGGGUUGCAUAAGACAAUCUUGAGGCAAUGAAUGCUGUUCAGUCUGGAGAAAAUGGAGUGGGAGGUACAGAAUCAUCUACAAUAUUAGAGGUAUUGACACAUGACUAAGGGGUUCUUCUCUUUUUGAUGCUCUAUAUCCUAUCUUGAAUGUGGGAAGAAGGAAAGGAAAGUCACAUGAAAGCAUAUUUCAGGAUAAUUGUGGAGAAGCUUUCUAAGGAUAAGAAUUAUCCACCACUGGGCUGGGCACUUGACAUCAUUGAACUCUCUAUCAUGGUUAGAUGAGUUCUCUCUCAAGGGUAUUGUUGCUCUUAAGCUUUUUGUCUAUGGUGGGAAAUUGAGCCAAAUGACCUUUAUAAUGUACAAAUCUAAGAUUCCAUAA